CCGAGUUUACAACUCCCAAACCCAAUGUGAACGUUACCAAACUGUUGCCUCGGCGGGGUCACGCCCCGGGUGCGUCGCAGCCCCGGAACCAGGCGCCCGCCGGAGGAACCAACCAAACUCUUUCUGUAGUCCCCUCGCGGACGUAUUUCUUUACAGCUCUGAGCAAAAAUUCAAAAUGAAUCAAAACUUUCAACAACGGAUCUCUUGGUUCUGGCAUCGAUGAAGAACGCAGCGAAAUGCGAUAAGUAAUGUGAAUUGCAGAAUUCAGUGAAUCAUCGAAUCUUUGAACGCACAUUGCGCCCGCCAGUAUUCUGGCGGGCAUGCCUGUCCGAGCGUCAUUUCAACCCUCGAACCCCUCCGGGGGAUCGGCGUUGGGGAUCGGGACCCCUCACACGGGUGCCGGCCCCUAAAUACAGUGGCGGUCUCGCCGCAGCCUCUCCUGCGCAGUAGUUUGCACAACUCGCACCGGGAGCGCGGCGCGUCCACGUCCGUAAAACACCCAACUUUCUGAAAUGUUGACCUCGGAUCAGGUAGGAAUACCCGCUGAACUUAAGCAUAUCA
rnacentral:rRNA from 1 species